rnacentral:rRNA from 1 species
UACGGAGGGUGCAAGCGUUAUCCGGAUUCACUGGGUUUAAAGGGAGCGUAGGUGGCUUUGUAAGUCAGUGGUGAAAUCUUAGAGCUUAACUCUAAAACUGCCAUUGAUACUGCUUAGCUUGAAUCACGUCGAGGUGGAUGGAAUAUUACAUGUAGCGGUGAAAAUGCUUAGAUAUGUAAUAGAACACCGAUUGCGAAGGCAGUUCACUAGGCGUGUAUUGACACUGAGGCUCGAAAGCUAGGGGAGCAAACAGG